GCAGUCGUGGCCGAGUGGUUAAGGCGAUGGACUCGAAAUCCAUUGGGGUUUUCCCCGCACAGGUUCGAAUCCUGUCGGCUGCG
rnacentral:tRNA from 1 species